rnacentral:rRNA from 1 species
AAGGGCACCACAAGAACGCGUGGAGCAUGUGGCUUAAUUUGACUCAACGCGGGGAAUCUUACCGGGUCCGGACACACUGAGGAUUGACAGACGGUUAUUGACUUAUACUCGCUUAAUGGCUUUAAGCUGUUAAACGUUUAACACCUUUACACAAAGAUGCUAGUCCUUUCAUGAUCGUUUGAUAGGUGGUGCAUGGCCGUUCUUAGUUCGUGGAGUGAUCUGUCUGCCUAAUUGCGUUUCACUAAGGUCCCAUUCUUCAUACGUAUGAAUAGCGUCUUAACUAUCUUUUACCGCUACCUAUUUGUAGUAAGCGCUCAUACUAUUGGGACCGGAAUGCAACGAGCGCGACUGCACCACCUAAUUGCCCCUUAUCUACCAUUAAUUACUUUAUUAACCGCCCUGUACGGGCACCGGGGCCUUACCUUUACUGAAACUAGCUGGACCGCUGCUUUCCUUUAAGCCAGAGGAAGGUUGCGGCAAUAACAGGUCUGUGAUGCCCUCAGAUGUUCCGGGCCGCACACGUGCUACAAUGAUCAGCACAAAGAGUAUUACCUAUCUUCUUAUACCUAACCCAAUAUGUUAAACUUAUUGCGUAAGGGUAUUGUCUUAACGACUUAUCCGCUUUAGCGCUUUAAGAUUAUUGGACGGUUAUGCCUGCCUCGAGAGAGUGUACAGGGCAGCAAGAGUAAUGAUUCCCUCGUUUUUACUACUAAUACCGCGCUUGGUAACAUAUUACACUCGAUUAAGUAGGGUCUUUGCUUCUAAUAGCAAUUGCUAUCCUCACCCUUAGGCUCUAAGGAUAUUACUAUCUGUAAGGUCUACAGGGAGGUGUAUAUGGCGCAUUUACUUAUUCACGGUGGGGGACAGACCAUUGUUAACUG